ensembl:processed_transcript A930005H10Rik RIKEN cDNA A930005H10 gene
AAGCCAGGACUCAAACAUCCCCAAAGGGCGUCCGGGCUGAUGACGAUAGCUCCCAAUCGCCCUCCAGACGCACACUGGCAGGAACAACCGGAGGGACUUCCCUGACCGACCCCGCGUUUGCUCAGCUUUGAAUUCCCGCUCUGUAGAUCUGUCGCAAUUUAACCAGAAGUCACCCUGUGCAUGGAGCUGUUUGAGAAAGAUCAGAGGAUGUGCCCUUGUUGGAGGAGAUGUGUCCCUGGGGGAAGGUCUUGAAACUUCAAAUGCCCACUCACUCCAUUCUCAGCACCUCUCUUCCUCAUGUCUAUGAAUCAGGAUGGGAAGUUCUCAGCUACUGCUCUAGCAUCAUACCUGCCUGCCAGAUGCCGUGCUCCCUGCCAUGAUGGUCAUGAACUCACCCUUUAAAACUGUAAGCCCUCAAUAAAGUCUUUCUUCU